GAUGAACGCUAGCUACAGGCUUAACACAUGCAAGUCGAGGGGAAACGACAUCGAAAGCUUGCUUUUAAUGGGCGUCGACCGGCGCACGGGUGAGUAACGCGUAUCCAACCUGCCCACCACUUGGGGAUAACCUUGCGAAAGUAAGACUAAUACCCAAUGAUAUCUCUAGAAGACAUCUGAAAGAGAUUAAAGAUUUAUCGGUGAUGGAUGGGGAUGCGUCUGAUUAGCUUGUUGGCGGGGUAACGGCCCACCAAGGCGACGAUCAGUAGGGGUGCUGAGAGGAAGGUCCCCCACAUUGGAACUGAGACACGGUCCAAACUCCUACGGGAGGCAGCAGUGAGGAAUAUUGGUCAAUGGGCGAGAGCCUGAACCAGCCAAGUAGCGUGCAGGAUGACGGCCCUAUGGGUUGUAAACUGCAUUUAUAAGGGAAUAAAGUGAGUCUCGUGAGACUUUUUGCAUGUACCUUAUGAAUAAGGACCGGCUAAUUCCGUGCCAGCCGCCGCGGUAA
rnacentral:rRNA from 1 species